AGUGAACGCUGGCGGUAGGCCUAACACAUGCAAGUCGAACGGCAGCACAGUAAGAGCUUGCUCUUACGGGUGGCGAGUGGCGGACGGGUGAGGAAUACAUCGGAAUCUACUUUUUCGUGGGGGAAAAGGUGGGAAAAUUAACGUAAAUACGAAAAAGAACUACGGGUGAAAAGAGGGGGUCCUCGGACCCUGGCGCGAUGAAUGGGCCGGAUGUCGGAUUAGCUAGUUGGCGGGGUAAAGGCCCACCAAGGCGACGAUCCGUAGCUGGUCUGAGAGGAUGAUCAGCCACACUGGAACUGAGACACGGUCCAGACUCCUACGGGAGGCAGCAGUGGGGAAUAUUGGACAAUGGGCGCAAGCCUGAUCCAGCCAUACCGCGUGGGUGAAGAAGGCCUUCGGGUUGUAAAGCCCUUUUGUUGGGAAAGAAAAGCAGCAGGUUAAUACCCCGCUGUUCUGACGGUACCCAAAGAAUAAGCACCGGCUAACUUCGUG
rnacentral:rRNA from 1 species